GUCACUCAUCAAGAUUCGGUGGUGUACAAACUGUACAUGAUUAGUUCAAGUGUCAAGAUCAAAUAUCACCAUGGAAUGUUGUAGAAUAAAUCAGGCUUCGAUGUUCUGCUCCUGAGGUCUGCUUGUGAUAUGGAUUUUAUAGGAAUCACAUACUCUAUUAUGUUCCAUCUUUAAGAGAUAUCAGGUCUUAUAAAUAUUCUCUUUUGGUAAAAAUCACCAUGCAGUCCUAGACAUGAUUUGCAUUUCAGGUGAUGAGGAAGUUACCGUUAUUGCUUAGUAAUAAGCAUGUAGGUCAUCCGUUCGGCCACAUGAGAAUGGUACCACCCAGUGGAUGCAACUUCCUCUGUUCAGAUAUCAGGCUAUCACCAAAAGAUUCAACAAAGAUUCUUCUUUUGCUUGAUAAUUGUGGCCGGAUGCAACUUCAGAACUACACAACGCAGCAGUAGAGUGAAGGAUGUCACCUGUGCCAAGAAUUUAGUUGCUCCAUGGUUGCUUAUACGCGGAUAUUACGUGACCAGUGACUGAUCAUUUUGUUGAUCAAUCUCCUUGGAAGCAAAAGGCUGGAAUUGGCAAGAAAAUGUGGUUGGUUCAGGUAGUCUUCUGACACUGCAACAGCCACACGGUUAUGAACUGCAGGGUGCACACUCGGCCUAGGCUGCGGUGAUCGAAACCAUCUUGAGCUUACACUGGUCAACUCAUCGGUCAGAAUUUGCCGCGGCGAUUAUCUAAUCAGGCUAACCCUUUUUGCCUUCACAUGGUGUGUGGUAUACAUACUAUGAUGCACUUUUCUGUUUGUAUGGUAUCUUCCCCGGGCGGAAUUGUGGCAAGGCAAGUACUUGGAGUUUUUGGUUGGCCCCUUUGCCAGCACAUGUGGAAGCUACUCGCAAAAUGGCCAACGCUUCCUUGACAACCAGAGAAGUCCUGCUUGAAGUUGGCCAAUGGUCUUCAGCGUCAGUACCGGAGAAAUUACCUACCAUGCCUCUCCAUCUUUGAAGAAUUCCAGACCUUCCAUCACCGGUGCACUUAACUAACAAUGGUCAACGCGCGGCCGCCCUAGUAUCCCUUGCCGGAUGUCUGCCGUCUGCUAGCCGGCGCACUGUACCGAAGAAAUAUAGGAAUGAAAUUACAAGAGCAUUAAUUCUGAAUCCCCACACCCCCAAGUGUACCAGCCCAUGAUGGCCCGCCCAUGUAGACGA